CACUUUGCAACUGUCUGUGCUUAGCUGUGCAGACAGCCCUGCAGGCAGGCAGGUGUUGUUAGUAGUGUGCACGGCACAGUGGACUACGGACAGACAGCUCUCCCUCUUCAGAGGUUCUUCCUAUACAUCUGUUGGAAAGAGCUGACUCUGUCCUGCUGCACUACUCCAAGCAUCAGUCUGGGGCAGCUGCAUGCGUGGUACCCGCUCCUGUGCCAUGGGAUCCCCAGCUUUAGCUCCAGCACAAGGAUCAGCACCCACCACAGGUCAGAGAAAUACCAGCACGAGGCCUUGCACUUUAUGUGUGUGAAAAUGCUCUUCCAGAAUGCAUCCAUUUUUUUAAGUGAAGCAAUUGGAGCAAGAUGGUCAGAAAUUUUUGUUUUACUAAUGAGAUCAAGCUUUACUUAGGGGAAAAAAAGUCUCAUUAUUAUUCUUUUUAGAACUAUAUCAGUUUUCAGUUGAAUACUAGACACAGUAUCCGGAACACAUAAAGCAGUAUCCAGAACAAAUAACUGCAUAAGGCAGCAAUUGCUUUUCGUUUCAAUACUCAUAUUUACAAACACUGGAUAAUCGCAGGGUUCCUACUUUUAAUGUGGCCCAUGAUAUUAAAUGAUUUGUGAACUGUGAGCAAGCUUCUUACAAGUAUUACAAUGGGUUGUAAAAGUACUUCUUAUUGUGAAUUCCAGC
rnacentral:lncRNA from 1 species